rnacentral:miRNA from 1 species
UGGAAGUCGCACGUCAUGCCGU